CAGCAGCCACGGUAAUACGGAGGGUGCAAGCGUUAAUCGGAAUUACUGGGCGUAAAGCGCACGCAGGCGGUCUGACAAGUCAGAUGUGAAAUCCCCGGGCUUAACCUGGGAACUGCAUUUGAAACUGUCAGGCUGGAGUCUUGUAGAGGGGGGUGGAAUUCCAGGUGUAGCGGUGAAAUGCGUAGAGAUCUGGAGGAAUACCGGUGGCGAAGGCGGCCCCCUGGACAAAGACUGACGCUCAGGUGCGAAAGCGUGGGGAGCAAACAGGAUUAGAUACCCUGUAGUCCCUGUCUCUUAUACA
rnacentral:rRNA from 1 species